rnacentral:lncRNA from 1 species
GCCGAGGUCCUCUUCUAGGAUUGGUUGUCCACUCAUAACCAUAAGAUAAUUAAAACGGGGGGGGGCAGGGUAAAAAAAAAACCCUUUUAUCAGCCAUAGGUUAAUGCAAGUGUUUAACAGAUGCUUCGCUAUUAAAAUAUUUCCCCCCAAUACUGAAGAAUCUUAAACCAGCAACCCUAACAGAGAUUGCGAAGAUUUUCAAAGUGGGGCACCUCGAUUUCUCGAAUCUGUGGUGUGGCGAAUAUCCGUGUUCCUCCUGCUUAACUAGCCUGUUUGCAUCUUUUGACACAUUUUACUUCCGUAAUUUCGGACUGCCAGAAGGCACAGUUCAUUCUCGAGCAAUUCGUCACCUCCUGGGGGUCUUCUCUUCCCGUCUACAGGAGAGUGUGACUUCAGAAAGAACUUCGGAUUGGCCAAGGCCAUUAAAGCUGGUGAGCGACUUGGAAGUCAUUUAGAAAGGAACAGACCUUCAACCUCAAGCCUUUGCGGGCACUGGGAAAGUGUCUUCCCAAUCAAUCUGGCUUGCAGGCGGCAGGACCAACUCUGACCUGGCUUAUCUUGUACCCAUCCUAAAUACACCAAACUCAAGAGGUAGCCAGGGCCGCCUCAACACCGAGGCAGGUCUGAUUCUAUUUAUUCUAAAGACAGAGUUGGAGAUGGGCUACCAUUGGUGUUGAUUGAGAUGACAAGCAGUCACCUGAGCCCAUACAGCUGGGUUCACAGAUGUGGCUAGUCUUGCUAGCCAGCUCGCACUGUGGACAUUCUAGGGAACUGACUGCAGUCCUCAUGCUUGGAGUCAAACACUUUAACCACUGCACACGUUUAUGUAAUAGGAUUGACAUAUGAGAAUCAGAGAAAUGAAUGAAAGAUUAGAGUGGGAGAAAGUGCUUGCUGCCAAGCUUGAUGACCUAAAUUGAAUACCUGGAACCUACACGACAGAAAGAGAGAGCUGACUGCUGAAAGAUGUCCUCAGAUCUUCACAUGUGCACAGUGGCACCUAUCCAACCAUGCACAUAGUAUAUUAAAAAUUAUUUUUUAAAAAAUCCA